GGCAACAUUCUUAAAUCACUUGUGGACUUUUAAUUCCAACUACGGUGUAUAGAGUAAAAACCUUUCUCUUUAUUCUUUUUUUUAUUUUAAUAAUUGAAUGAUAAUGAGUUGAAGUGGAAGACUACUCAAAUUUUUCAUCUCUACUUUAGAUUUAGGGUCUGAGUAUCUUAAUUUUAAUUUUUAGGAUCAUGUUGUCUUAUCAGGUUUUAUCACACUAAUCAAUUUCUGAUAGUUCCUAUCUUGGAUCUGACCUCCUUCAAAAGGACAGAAUUCCUUUAACUAGAGAAAUACAAACAUAAUUACUUCCCUUUUCUUUUUUCUUUUUUUUGCUGGGGGGGAUUUAGGGCAAUUUCAAUAGCCAUCAUGCCUCUGGUUAGUUGUAUAAGGAAAUUGGCAACCUGCACAAUAGUUGUAGGAAAUACUGCUGCAAAGCCUAGAACUUCAUCUUCUUAUUCCUCAACCAUCAAUCAAAUCCUAACCAACUUAACAUCACAUUUCAACUCUAAAUCAGAAAUACUAUUCAUUGGUGCCAUUCACAGAUGUAAACAACACCCAAACCAACAUGGUCAUUUUUUUUGGCAGGCUUUAAACUUAUCCUCCUAUCCUAAAUCAACAAUCAAAUGGUUCAAAACAAAUCAUAUUUUCACAUCCAUGUAAGCCCCAAACUAGAAUUUCUUGCUUGCUAUAUAACCAUCAUUUCUGAAAUUUCCAGAUCCUACUUUGGUAAGCCUCCUACUGACUAGAGACUACUUCCAAAGCAAUCACCAAUUAUCAGGACACAAGAAUGACAACAUUACCUCAUCAAGCAGACCAAUCUGAGAAGUGUCACCCUCACCAAACCGCUCUGAAAGUAUUUAAAAAGCAAAAUUUUAGAUUUUACUAAAUUUGCUAACUAAAUGUAGCUAAAAUUAGCAUUGCUGAGUCAAAAGCAUGCACUAACCAUCAAAUCCAAAUUGUGAUGUAGAGUAAACCACGUUGCCCAUGGUAUCUUGAAGUGUAAUCUGCUCUCUUGAGCUAAUGUGAUUAUCAAAAUAGUUACUGCCAAGAAAGUUAUGUUAAUUAACAUACAAUACUUCCAUAGAUACCAUAUGAAAAUAUUUGAUGUGUAUCUCAUUGUACCACACCAGGGAAGGCAACCUUAAAGGUAAAAGCAUCAGAAUCUAACCCCUGAAAAAUCUCAUUGUCGGGCAGCUCAAAGUCAUCAAGAUCAAAAGUCUCAGGCAAAGUGAUUGAAUGGUAGGGCGCAGUCAAUUCUUCUGGUGGUAAAUCUACUGCAGUGGAGCGAAAUGCCUGCUUUAUCUUAAGCAAUGCUUCGCUGCAAUCAUCAAAAAGGUAAUUCACCUUUCGGGAAUAUAUCCUCACCACUCCAAGAAGAAGAUGACUGGACAAUCGUAGUGCAAUCGGUACUUCAGGAAAUAGAAUAGAGUCUGCUCAAAUGCCAUAUAAGCAAAGCAAAAAGGAAAUUCCAAAAAGUUAGAUCUAGGCAACUUAUCCUAAGUCACAAAGUUGCCCAUGAACUGAAAGAAAUUAGAUAUUAGAAUGUUAAAAAUAACACCCACAUCACCACCACUGGAUAGCUUCAUCUAAUUCUAUUAGUGUAGAAAUAAGCCAUGAGCAACAAAAGGGCCGAACAAGCUUGAAGGGAAAUUCCUCUGCUGAGUAACCAAGCAAACCACAUAGUUUAAAAAUAUGCCAUCAACCACAUGGAUAGUUACCAUGUUCCAGAGGGAUAUCACUCCUACACAAUCAGAGAUUUCCAAAGAAACCAAUAGAAUUUCCAGAAAUCCCUCCAAAUAUGCCCAAAAUACGAAGAUACUUAAAAGGACAUAAAAAAGACUAUUUCAAGCAUCACUAAGAAUGGGAAGAAAAAGGAUGCUUAUGAGCUUUCAAAAAUUAUCACAUGAUAAAAAUUAAAUGGCACAUGGGAAUCAAAUUUUCUGCUUCAAGAAUUGAUGGAGCAAACUAUAUGCAUACUGCUCCAUAAGUUUCUGGACAGUGCAUGUUUUAACAAAUUGACUAUCAAGUUUAAUGGUAUGAUCAUGCCAUCAAGUAUGCUGAUUUUCAAACUAAUCUGGUAUGAAUUUGAACUCCAAAAUAUCACUUUUACUAAUAAAUGGAUUGAAGCUAAUUUGAUUUCAUCAAGCCAUUAGAACUACUCAAUAAACUUAAAACUAUAUGUGCAUAAGCGUAACUCUUAAUGGUUGGUUUGAAUAUGAAAUUUCAAAUCAUUAGGUUUUUUUUUUUUUUUUUUUUGAGGGGGGAGAGGGGGGAAGGGAGUUUAGAGAAAAUGAAUUGAACAAGGACAAAUAAAUAAGGGUUUACUAUUUUUAUUUUUUUUUGGCCAGUAUAAGGGUUACUAAUUACUUCUUGUUAUUUACUUCCGUAUGAAGUUGUUAAAACAGCUAAAAUCAUAAUUAAUCUAAAACGAAACAAUGACUAAGACAAAAUACCAAUUAUGAAACAACCAAAUAAUAUCUAAAUAAAUAACAAUACACAAUAUAAACGAAAAUGAACGGGAGUAUGUCCAAAACAUUCUAUCGUGAACUGAACUAUUGAAAUUAAGUAGAUUUAGAUAUUGCAUCAAUAAGGGGAAAUGAAUAUAUUAAUAAAAGUAAGCUUACUAGAAAUUUAAAUUCAGGGAUAUCAAGCUAACAAGUGGAAGCUAAGAAGUACUAACCAACAGAGACACCGAUAUCAGUAUCUGCCACCUGAUUCUUUCGGAGCUUCCUCUCCAGAUGUGCUGCAAUCCAUAUUGUCCCCAACGGACCUUUCUUCGCCAAUAUGAACUGUGAAUAAAACAUUUCUCUCCCAAUAUAAUCCCUAUUUUUUUUAUACAACUUCCCUACUUCUAAAUGUGACAAAACCUUAUUAUUAAAGCUUACACAUUCAUAUCCUAUUCAAAUUUUAAAUUUUCACUACAAAAUCAAAAAACACACAGGGCUCACGAGAGGAACCCUAAAUUUCUAAUUCCCCAAUAGAACCCUUAAAAUUUACACUUCCAGCUACGGGAAUAAACACAUUAAGUUGAAAAUAUCCCAAAAACGAAUAGAAAAAAAGAAACCCUAAUCAGUCCCCAUCCAUCAGACAACCUCCGAAAUCCUCCCAAAACUCCGUAAUCCAACAAAGGGGCUCCAUUUGCGCUUAAUUUACAGAGCCGCCACUCGGUAGAACUUCAAAAUAUGAUACAUUAAGAAUCCGAUAAGUAAAUCCCGACUUAACUUCGGGUCGAAACCCUAGUCUUGGACGGGACGACGGUGUUUAGUGGGAAACUACAGCUGAAUAAUUGAGUAGGGGAAAAGGAAUUGAGGAGUGACAGAGUUUGACUAGCAAGUCUUAUCGCGGACAGGCAUAGAUAAACUGAAGACAGAUCGGAAGAAGUUUUGAGCUAUGUAAGAGAGAGAAGGGAAGCACUCUUUUAGAUUUUGUAAUAAG
rnacentral:lncRNA from 1 species